GAGCAGGCUGCAUCCAAGAGGUCAUACAAGCCAGCCUGUCAAGUGUUCCAUUUGAACCCAUACCAUUAAUAAUUAAUGUGAGAAUUUACCAGAUCAAGAUUUUUGCUGUUUUUUUUUUUUUGUCAUGCAACUAAGCCAAAAACAUUAUAUCUUCAGUUGUAAUAUAAGAUAUCCCCGAGCCAGAUAGAUAAUUUGGUAAAUGAGAAGUUGAUAUCAUUCUAUGUUGUAUCCUAGCAAUAUACGGGACAUGUUUAUUAAUUUAAUUGAUGAAAAAUAUUAUAUGGUUUUUUU
rnacentral:misc_RNA from 1 species